CCCUUAGAUGUUCUGGGCCGCACGCGCGCUACACUGUUCGACGCAGCGAGUCUUAACCUUGACCGAAAGGUUUGGGUAAUCUUCAGCAAAGUCGAACGUGAUGGGGAUCGAUCAUUGCAAUUAUUGAUCGUGAACGAGGAAUUCCUAGUAAGCGCAAGUCAACAGCUUGCGUUGAUUACGUCCCUGCCCUUUGUACACACCGCCCGUCGCUACUACUGAUUGGAUGUUUAAGCGAGGUUCUCGAACUGCUAGCGACUUAGCUUCGGUGAGGUCGCAGUGUGGGAAGUGAACCUAGCUUUGGUGUCUAGAGGAAGUAAAAGUCGUAACA
rnacentral:rRNA from 1 species